rnacentral:tRNA from 1 species
UCCGGGGUGGCGCAGUCGGUAGCGCAGGGCACUGUUAAUGCCAAGGUCGUGGGUUCGAGCCCCACCCCCGGAGCCA